GACAGAGGGGGCAAGCGUUGCUCGGAAUCACUGGGCGUAAAGGGCGCGUAGGCGGGAUGGCAAGUCAGUCGUGAAAUCUCUCGGCUCAACCGAGAAACGUCGGCUGAUACUGCCGUUCUUGAGGGAUGCAGAGGAGACUGGAAUUCCCGGUGUAGCGGUGAAAUGUGUAGAGAUCGGGAGGAACACCGUGGCGGAGGACGGCGACCUGCCCAUGACCA
rnacentral:rRNA from 1 species